CCUGAUGCACUGAAGGAAUGGGUGGGGGUGGUGGAGGUGGGUGUGAGUCAUAUGGCGUCUCAUCCUGAACUGUCGAUGGUCUACCCUGCUGACCACCGAUCUCCUGCCUGAGGCUAGCCAAAGCCUUCUGGAUAGAAGCCAUGGCAGCCGUGAACUGAUCGACCGUGACAACCUGCUGAUCCAUAUCUGGUGUAUCUGAAACCCGAACUAAUCUGCCCUCUACUCUGAUCCACGAAACUAUACCCAGACUGAGAGUAAAAAUCCUGAUCCUGAAAGUACUCCUCCUCUGCUCUGAUCCACAAAGGUAUAUCAAGACAAGGAACAAAGGUCCGAUCCUACAAAGCACGAAGAACGGAAUAAGGAUAUGGCUCGGGGAAUGUAUAGAAGAAAAGAUAAUCUGAACAGGAACAAGCAAAGCAUCCAAGUGAAGAUGAGCGGUCCGACCGUACUCAAACUCGUCAUGAUCUCAGUGCACUCUCAACUGGAGACUAAACAGAGGGAAAAUCGGAUCCAAAACUGCGGCUACAAAGGCACGGAAAGCCCUCAGAUGCACCCACGUGUAGGGAGGGAAUCCUAAUCGAAAGAUCUACGGCUCAACCUACAAGGUCAAGGUGGCUCUAAAUGGAUAAGGGUGGACUUUAAAAUAUCCCUAGCAGAAGCGAUCAUACCCUCCGGCGGUAUGCAACCCUCUGCACGCCUCCGAAGAGACGGGGCGCUUCCAUGCAAGGUGGUCAUCACCUCCACACAUGCACUACCUCGCAUCCCAGGGGGUUUCCUAUGGUGAAACCUCUCAAACUCUCAACACUCAAUAGCCAACUAGCGUGCACAGUGAUGGUGUGGGUGCAUCCGAAACCCUAAGAAGCUAAAGCAGGAUAUGAAACACACUGGCCACACAAAUAUCCAUGAAACCUAGCUCCGGGCUAUACAGGUCUUCAAUGAUCGGACUCCAAUCGACAUCAAAGUGUCACUCUCCUCCAGAAUGCUCCCGUGCAUCGAUAUAGCCCGUCGCUAGACCCUACUCCUAAUCUCUAGCUCGGUCAGAGAGCAAGCACACAGAAGGUCUCACACUUGCAAUAGUGAGAACCGGGAUGAAAGGAAUGACCGAAACCAAGAGAGUUGGAGGUAAGGGGAUAUAUAUGCAGCCCACAUAGACAAGCGACAUGCAAUCAAGCAGAAGAAGGGCAGUCAUGCAUCAUACAGUCAAGCAGAGUACAGGAUAUAUCACUCAUGUCCACACAAAAAGCUACAACUAUCAGGAUGAAUAGCAAUAUGGACAUCAUGCUCAAAAGACGAUCAAGACAAUAUGCCAGUCAGAGAAAACAACAUAGCCAGCUGAGUGAUGUACAGCGGUGAGUGUAUGCAUGUGAAGUGAUCAGAAUAAUCAUGGCAAAAUCAGGAUCAAUGCGCUAAGCAACACGAAAUGAUCAAUCAAUAUAAUCAGCAUGUCAAAAUCUCAAAUGAAUAUAUCAAUGAAGCACAGAGAAAAAAGCUAUCUCGGAAUCCUCUAU
rnacentral:lncRNA from 1 species